rnacentral:rRNA from 1 species
UACGUAGGUGACGAGCGUUGUCCGGAUUUACUGGGCGUAAAGAGCGCGCAGGCGGUCGUUCAAGUCGAGUGUGAAAGCCCCCGGCUCAACUGGGGAGGGUCACUCGAUACUGAUCGACUCGAAGGCAGGAGAGGGUAGUGGAAUUCCCGGUGUAGUGGUGAAAUGCGUAGAUAUCGGGAGGAACACCAGUGGCGAAGGCGACACCCUGGACUCAUACUGACACUGAGGUGCGAAAGCGUGGGGAGCAAACAGG